rnacentral:rRNA from 1 species
UGGGGAAUAUUGGACAAUGGAGGAAACUCUGAUCCAGCAAUUCUGUGUGUGUGAAGAAGGUUUUAGGACUGUAAAACACUUUUAGUAGGGAAGAAAAAAAUGACGGUACCUACAGAAGAAGCAACGGCUAAAUACGUGCCAGCAGCCGCGGUAAUACGUAUGUUGCGAGCGUUAUCCGGAAUUAUUGGGCUUAAAGGGCAUCUAGUCGGUAAGACAAGUUGAAGGUGAAAACCUGUGGCUCAACCAUAGGCUUGCCUACAAAACUGUUGAACUAGAGUACUGGAAAGGUGGGUGGAACUACACGAGUAGAGGUGAAAUUCGUAGAUAUGUGUAGGAAUGCCGAUGAUGAAGAUAACUCACUGGACAGAAACUGACGCUGAAGUGCGAAAGCUAGGGGAGCAAACAGG